UUCCUGUUUCUCCACACAUAGUUACAUUUCUUCCCUGCCAUGUAAACCCUUAAUUUUAGUUGGUCAGUGAGAUGGAUCUGAGACUGAGCUCUCAUUUCCUCAGCUGGAGCACCCAAUUAAAGCCUUCUUCCCUGGCAAUCCUCAUCAUCUUGGUGAUUGGUUUUAUGUGCAGUGAGCAUCAGGGCUUAGAACAAACCCCUGGUGUUUUGGUAACAAUAUCUGGUUUGAUUUUCAGCUACUAAAAAGAACAUUUCAUUUGCAGGGAGCCAGACACAGGAGAGCUGAAGGGCUCAGCAAGGGCGGCUAGGAACUUGUCCCCUGGCUGCAGGGCCCACACCAGAGUUAAAAGCUUCUUACCUUGGAUACCUUCAUCCUGCUUUGCAGAAAAGAAAAAA
rnacentral:lncRNA from 1 species